UAAGUAAGCUUUGAUCCAGAGAUUUCCGAAUGGGGAAACCCAGCAUGAGUUAUGUCAUGUUAUCGAUAUGUGAAUACAUAGCAUAUCAGAAGGCACACCCGGAGAACUGAAACAUCUUAGUACCCGGAGGAAGAGAAAGAAAAUUCGAUUCCCUUAGUAGCGGCGAGCGAAACGGGAAGAGCCCAAACCAACAAGCUUGCUUGUUGGGGUUGUAGGACACUCUAUACGGAGUUACAAAGGACGACAUUAGACGAAUCAUCUGGAAAGAUGAAUCAAAGAAGGUAAUAAUCCUGUAGUCGAAAAUGUUGUCUCUCUUGAGUGGAUCCUGAGUACGACGGAGCACGUGAAAUUCCGUCGGAAUCUGGGAGGACCAUCUCCUAAGGCUAAAUACUCUCUAGUGACCGAUAGUGAACCAGUACCGUGAGGGAAAGGUGAAAAGCACCCCGGAAGGGGAGUGAAAUAGAACCUGAAACCGUGUGCUUACAAGUAGUCAGAGCCCGUUAAUGGGUGAUGGCGUGCCUUUUGUAGAAUGAACCGGCGAGUUACGAUUUGAUGCAAGGUUAAGCAGUAAAUGUGGAGCCGUAGCGAAAGCGAGUCUGAAUAGGGCGUUUAGUAUUUGGUCGUAGACCCGAAACCAGGUGAUCUACCCUUGGUCAGGUUGAAGUUCAGGUAACACUGAAUGGAGGACCGAACCGACUUACGUUGAAAAGUGAGCGGAUGAACUGAGGGUAGCGGAGAAAUUCCAAUCGAACCUGGAGAUAGCUGGUUCUCUCCGAAAUAGCUUUAGGGCUAGCCUCAAGUGAUGAUUAUUGGAGGUAGAGCACUGUUUGGACGAGGGGCCCCUCUCGGGUUACCGAAUUCAGACAAACUCCGAAUGCCAAUUAAUUUAACUUGGGAGUCAGAACAUGGGUGAUAAGGUCCGUGUUCGAAAGGGAAACAGCCCAGACCACCAGCUAAGGUCCCAAAAUAUAUGUUAAGUGGAAAAGGAUGUGGCGUUGCCCAGACAACUAGGAUGUUGGCUUAGAAGCAGCCAUCAUUUAAAGAGUGCGUAAUAGCUCACUAGUCGAGUGACACUGCGCCGAAAAUGUACCGGGGCUAAACAUAUUACCGAAGCUGUGGAUUGUCCUU
rnacentral:rRNA from 1 species